UCUGGUGACAAUGGCAAGGAGGUCACACCUGUUCCCAUGCCGAACACAGAAGUUAAGCUCCUUAGCGCCGAUGGUAGUCGGACUGACGUUCC
rnacentral:rRNA from 1 species